GGGUGGUAGCGGUUGUUAGCGU
rnacentral:siRNA from 1 species